AUAACAAAACUUUAAUUGAAGAGUUUGAUCAUGGCUCAGAUUGAACGCUGGCGGCAGGCCUAACACAUGCAAGUCGAGCGGCAGCGGGAAGAUAGCUUGCUAUCUUUGCCGGCGAGCGGCGGACGGGUGAGU
rnacentral:rRNA from 1 species